rnacentral:rRNA from 1 species
GUGGGGAAUAUUCCGCAAUGGACGAAAGUCUGACGGAGCAACGCCGCGUGAGUGAUGAAGGUUUUCGGACUGUAAAGCUCUGUUGUUUAGGACGAAAGUGCCUGUUGCGAAUAGUUACAGGUAUUGACGGUACUGAACGAGGAAGCCACGGCUAACUACGUGCCAGCAGCCGCGGUAAUACGUAGGUGGCAAGCGUUGUCCGGAAUUAUUGGGCGUAAAGAGCAUGUAGGCGGGAAUCUAAGUCUGUUGUGAAAAUGCGGGGCUCAACCCCGUAUUGCGAUGGAAACUGGGUUGCUUGAGUGCAGGAGAGGAAAGGGGAAUUCCCAGUGUAGCGGUGAAAUGCGUAGAUAUUGGGAGGAACACCAGUGGCGAAGGCGCCUUUCUGGACUGUGUCUGACGCUGAGAUGCGAAAGCCAGGGUAGCGAACGGGAUUAGAUACCCCGGUAGUCC